GUCAAAGAUGGAGGCUGGAGCGGGGAGGCCAUGAGACAGCAGAGCGCUGGUAAACACCAUGCAGAAAAGCCGUAUUGUGGGGUUACAAAGUCUGGGCUGUUUAAGGAGCUCUGUCAUUCCUUUUAAUGGAGCUCACUGACGCAGAUCUGGGUUCUGCCAGCCGAGGAAAUAUUGCUGCUGAGAAAAGGGUUAUUGAAACCCACAAACUAAAUAUUAUAAGCAAGAAUCAAAUGGCAGGACAUUCUGGAGUGUAAUCCCUCCUGAUUUCAGGAGAAGGGGAACAUAUUGGCAUGGAAUGAAGCUCCCUCCAGUCACCUGCYGCAAGACACAUUAUCCAGCUUCCUAACCUUAAGGAUGAGACCCUAUCAAUAUUGCCUCUGCUUUUGUGAUCAGGGUAGUAGUGCAAUAUUGCUUAUAGGGUCUUUUCUUUUGAGGGWUAUUCUUCAUGGAGAGAAGAAAGCCACAGCAGGAAAAAAUAAUCCUAUGUGCCCACCGAGUUAAGGGAAAAGUUGUGAAAUGCUGAGCGUUGUUAGAUAGGCGAGUAAUUGUACAGAGAUGUUAUUUGUGACAAAUAAUCGUGCUAUUCUGGUGACUCAGGUUGUGAGUAAUGGGCAUAUUUCUGAUGCUAUCACASAGGAUUCAAAACGGCCUCGUGUUUAAAACACAAGCAGUGAUUGAAACCAGAGAAACCCAUCAUGGCUCCUUUUUAAAACAGUAUGAGUUCUGAAACGUUUGAAGGGUGUCUAUAUUACAUACUGAUGUAAACACCCACCAAGGGAUGGGAGGAGAUACAUAGCUAUACUUGCUGUUUCUGUGCCUGAUCCCAGCCCGAAAAUCACUGUGAUGCGAAGCAGAGCACAGCACAAAGAGGCCGAGGCUCUAAUCCCAAUAACCUCCGCGAAACAAAGCUCAUGCCUCUGCCCGGCGAGUGCGGCCCGCCGGGCUCCGCGGCUGUGCCCCGCACCCGAGGCUGUUCCAGGGUCGGGCGGCGCAGCGGGGCCGGGAGCAGCCUCCGGCCCUUUCCCGAAAGCUGCUCUCUGAGGUACGUGGGAACGGAGCAGGGAUGGGGGUGUUAAAUCUCCUCUCCGCUUUGUGAGGAUCAGCUGGGGGCUGACAGCAGCCGGGAUGGCCGAGUGGGUGGCCUUGCCUUCCAUUUCAGGUGGUCCCCGCGGUCCCUUUCGGGACCUCAGGGGCCCAGGGAAAGGGGUGGUGGGAGGGGACUGAGGGCCGGAUCAGGGCGCGGCGGAGCAGCCGCUGCCGCGGGGCUUUCUGUGCCGGUCCCCGGGCGCCGCUGCCGCGCGUCUCCCCGGGGCGGCYGGGCUCUCCUCGCCGGCCCGGCGGCGUGCGGGGCAGGGCCCGGAGCCACACCACGGGGCCGUGCCCGCUGCCUCCCCGUUGUAGGGCUGCCGCUGCCCUCGGUUUAACUCCCCCCCCCCCUGAGCUGCCCCCCAGCAUCAUUCCAAUGGGAGGCGGCCAGCUCGGGGACAAAGCCAGGAUCUCCCCACCCCACUCGGGCUCUCCCUCCGUGCCCCCAGCCCGGCAGCCGGGCUGCAGGCCGGGGACUGCCGCAGCUGCUAUGCCAGCGCUGGGACCACCGGCCGGGCUGCCCCUCUUUCCCUGUUGCACUACUGUCACGGUCGCAGCGAGCAGUGCAAUAAUGAAAGGGCGUCAGUGCGCCGGGGAGCGGCGAGAGCCGGGGACGAGCCGGUGACAGCGUGCGGGGACAGGACGUCCCGCCGCCCCCCGAGAGCCACCUUAACGGGGCGGGGGGGGAUACACACGACACUGACGGACGKACUUUGGUUGUGCAACUUUCUUUGUUUAAACACGCAGCGGCGGAGAGCGUGCGCGCAGGGGCAGGGCAAGGUGAGCGGCUCCGCGCACCAUUUGCCCCGGGCCCGCCGCCGCU